GGGCUAUAAUUUAAAGCUUCUAACUUUAUCUAGAGCAAUCCAUGUUCAUAGCCCU
rnacentral:tRNA from 1 species